rnacentral:rRNA from 1 species
UACGGAGGGUGCAAGCGUUAUCCGGAUUCACUGGGUUUAAAGGGUGCGUAGGUGGGUUUGUAAGUCAGUGGUGAAAUCUCCGGGCUUAACCUGGAAACUGCCAUUGAUACUAUGGAUCUUGAAUUUUCUGGAGGUAAGCGGAAUAUGUCAUGUAGCGGUGAAAUGCUUAGAUAUGACAUAGAACACCAAUUGCGAAGGCAGCUUACUACAGGAACAUUGACACUGAGGCACGAAAGCGUGGGGAUCAAACAGG